UACGAAGGGGGCAAGCGUUGUUCGGAAUUACUGGGCGUAAAGGGCGCGUAGGCGGCUUGCCAAGUCAGGCGUGAAAUUCCCGGGCUCAACCUGGGGGCUGCGCUUGAUACUGGCUGGCUUGAAUGCGGGAGAGGAUGGUGGAAUUCCCAGUGUAGAGGUGAAAUUCGUAGAUAUUGGGAAGAACACCGGUGGCGAAGGCGGCAUCUGGCCCGUGAUUGACGCUGAGGCGCGAAAGCGUGGGUAGCAAACGAGG
rnacentral:rRNA from 1 species